ensembl:lincRNA
GCCUCGGGAGGGGUAACGACCGGCCAGGGGGCCCCCGGUUGCUGCGGGGCGCGAGGGCACGGGUCUGUCCCCGCCGGGCCACCCCUCAGCCUCCGUGGGGACGCGGCCCCGGUCGUGCCCUCACACUGGCCCCCGGGGCUCGGUCUCGGUUAUUUUGGGGGCGGCUUUCUCUCUGACACGGCCGUGCCGAUGACACCCACGCUUUCCCACAGCGCCUCCUCGGCUGAUACUUUCCGUCUUCCUAUUCAGCUUUUCCACUGGCACAGGGCGUUUUUCUCUAGAGAAGUAUUUUGGACGCAGGUAGCAUGUGACAGGCCGGGGGUCUGAAAGAGGAACCUUUCCUUUGCUCAACAUCAGAUGUGCCUGCAGCAGGAUGUGGUGAGCUGUUAUACCACAAUUUAAUUUAAUAAGAAGGGUUUUUCCCCUUAUAUUUGAUUUUUUACUAAAAUGCUCCUAAGGUGGAAACUAUUGUUUUUUUCCAAGAGCUCGAAUCCUUGCUUUCACCUGGGAAGUGCACACAGGACACGAGCACAUACGUGUGUCCCUCCUCACACCUCUAUGCACCUACCUGGAGCUGAAGGAAGUAGGAAAGUAGAAUUUUUAAAACACAAAAAGCAGGCAAAGCGCAGGGUCCUCUAACAGGGCACCGCUCGAACUUCCAGAGAAUUCGUUUCUUCUCAGACCACCAUUUUGGCAAGAAGCCACACUAAAACGCAGGGCGGUGCUGAGGGCCCAAGCCCACCUCCGCAGGCUCCAUGCAGGGACGUCCCUGGGACUGGCCCGAGCACGCGACGACGGCCACGGUGGAAUUCUGGGAGCUUGACACUGGCUGCUACACUUUAACCCACUCACUGCCUAGAUUUAAGUAAAUUUUUCCUACAUUUCUGAAUUCUUGGUUUCUGAAAACAGCUGAGGAUCUCAAACCAAAUUGUAAGGGAUUAGAAAACAAUGUGUCCACUGAUGUUAGUCCCGGCCUCCGCACGCCGUUGCGAGCUGCGUGGCCGUCCCGAGGGGCUGGGGCAGGGGUGGCAAGUGGAGAAGGCGGGCCGCCGCAUGGGGCUGCGGGGCAACACCGGGCUGGGCAGGUCCGUGGAGAGCCACUGGACGCUGGGAGAGCCACUGGACGCUGGGAGAGCCACUGGCAAGCCCUCGGGGCAGCGGUGACCCUGAGGAGACGGGCCCCUGGCUGGGGGGCCGGGCUGCCGCCGGGGGCCCGGGUGUGCGGUGCAAGCGCAGCCGGCCACCCUGGAGCCGGGCUUUCCCGCUCACUGCCUGCACCAGCAAGGCUGCCGGCGCUCCAAGGGGCGUCCCUGCGCCAAGGGGAAGGCGAGCGCCAUCCUCUGUGUCACUUUCCCUUCCUGCAGCUUCUCUUCAAACCAAACCAAACUCCCCGUGGCCGCGACCCUCUGCGCACCAGCACGAGUCAGGCAUUCUCCUGUUUGAGAAAGACCAUUCCUGCUGUCACUUCCCCGUACAAGCCCUUACGUACUUUCAGACACCCGGGGACGCGCCUUUGAAGAGGCGCUCGCUUUAGGGCGCCCCGGAGAGAAUCUCCUCAGAGGACGAGGCCCCGGCGCUCAGCAGGCCACAGCCCUGGCCGGACGCGGGCUGCUCCGUGGUCAGACUACAGCCGCAGGGUGCUGGGGAAAGCCCCCAGCAGGCACGCCCGGGGCGUCGGGGUGCUCUGCCGGGCCACGGCCUGGCGCUUCUUCCAGGGUGCGCGAAGCCAUGCCUCCUCGGGGCGGGGAAGGGCUCCGAAGCGGCACCCUGGGAGCCUGUCUUCCCUCCUUCCUCGGCCCCAAACCCUCCACAGCUCCCACCGCCGCCCGGUGCCUGGCACAGCCCGCGAGCUGGCGGAGCCCGGGGCCUCCCCGCAGAGGAACCGCACGCGCAGGCGGGUCCGCGGGGAAGGCUACAUGCGCGCUCCGAGCCCCUGGCCGGGCAGGGGCCACGCAGGGCCAGC